rnacentral:rRNA from 1 species
UACGGGGGGUGCGAGCGUUGUCCGGAAUCACUGGGCGUAAAGGGCGCGUAGGUGGCCUGAUAAGGGUGUGGUGAAAGUCCGGGGCUCAACCCCGGAUCUGCCGUGCCGACUGUUGGGCUGGAGUACUGUAGGGGCAGGCGGAAUUCCGGGUGUAGCGGUGGAAUGCGUAGAGAUCCGGAGGAAGACCGGUGGCGAAGGCGGCCUGCUGGGCAGUUACUGACACUGAGGCGCGGCAGCGUGGGGAGCAAACAGG